rnacentral:lncRNA from 1 species
AGCGUAUUAUAAGAUGAUUAAAUAUGCAUAGUACAAGUAUGUUAUGGAAGGCUGUGUUAACUGAUAUAGUGGGACCACAAUAGUAUGUGUAAGUGAGAUUUGGAAAAUUUGAUAUGCCAGCAAGGACAAAGAAGUGUUGAAUUUGCAAGUUUAUGCACAUAAUUCUGAGAAUCCAGGCAGCUAUUUCUCCUUUUGAAUUGUUCUCUUGGCUAGGGGAUAAGGGUGAGACACAAUACACAUUUGAAUGUGUCACUGUGUAAGUUACCACUGCAAUAUCUUCUGUAUGUUGAAAAACUGGUACUUAUAUGUACUAAUACUAUCUACCAUGAAAAAAACAAUUAAAAAUUUAAAAUAUCAUGUAAAUUAAAUAAAGUUCAAAUACCACUAGCCAGAAAAAAAUAUUUUAUAUUAUAGUCUGGGGUCAGAAGAGGAAAACCUUAUGUAAAGUAUCAAAAUUAAUUUUUAUUUCAAUUUAAAUGCACCAUCAUAUAACAUAGUUUCAUAACUGAAAUUACAUUUGUCAGAAUUUGAUCUUUUCAUUAUUAAAGAAUUGAGGGAAAAUUGAUGGUUAUAAUAUUGAUAUGCCAUGUAAAUAAACUUUUUUUGAUUGUUAUAGGAA